CUUUAAACAAAAAAAAAAACUGUAAAAGCUGUUGGGGGACCCAUAGCUACAGGCUAGAGAUGCAGACAGUAGAUUCUCAGUUCUUCUCCGCAUGAUCACGUGGCCCCAUGCUCCAUUAUUAUAUAUAUAUAUAUAUACAUAUAUUCACUUUUUCCAUCCCAUUUCUAAAAUUAAUUUUAAUGAAUAAAUUAUUACAUACCACUACCUGAUUAGUUCAAGAAUUAUCCAUUACUUCUUCUGAAUACUGCCCAUAAAAAGAUCACUUCACUUUACAUCCUAUUUUACCCUAUAACAGCAUCUCCAAUGGUUAAUUAAAAUUUUUAUUAAAUUUAAAUUAAAAAAAUCAAUAUUUUCAAUUUAAUAUGACUUACUCUAAUCGUGUAUUACAAGGGAAAGGUCAACCGGUUGGAUAACGGCCGGUCGACCGAUAAGAGCAUUUUUUUUUUACCUGUUUGAACUUUUUUUGACUGGUUUAAACCCACUCUUUGAAAGGAAACCGGUCGACCGGUUGGUCAGCCGGCUGGUUGACCGGUUGACCUCCUCCAACGGUCACGCACAGUAAUUUGCUAAAAUCUAUACCCUGUUAUCAGUUUGAUGAUUUUUUUGUUGAAUUCACAUUUUGAUACUAAUUUGGUGAAACUGUUGGAGCACCAAAAUGUGACUUUUUCACCAAAAUUUAAAUCUGAUGCUAAGUUUGGUUCACCGUUAGAGAUGGUCUAAGAUUGUUUCAUAAAUGUUAAAUUAGUAUAAUUUUUUAUUUUUUAUGAAAAAAUAUAAAAUGUAAAUUAAGAUGGAUGGAGAAUUGAUGAGAUUCAAACAAAGAAUGAUAGAUGUGAUUCAAACAAAGAAUAAUAUGAUCCAAAUAAAAUAAUGCGUUAAAAUAACAUAAUUUAUUUUAACACAUGACAAAUAAACUCUAAAUGGAUUUGUGUAUUUUUUUAAAACACAUUAUUGUCUAUUCUUUUCAUAAAAUAAAAUAAAAAAUUAAAUCUCAUUUUUUCAAAAAUAAUAUACAUAUAGUGCUUUAUAAAAUAAAUAUUUUAAAUUAUUAAAAUCAGAUUCAUGGUGAAUCUCACAAGCCCAUACAAACCCCCACGAGUUCGGAUCCUCUUCAGCCAGUGUCUCUAACCUUUCCUCAGGGUGACAGCCCAGACUGGGCCACGUCAACCCAAUCAAAAUAGACGGCUCAGAUCAACUUCAAAAAAAAAGAAACAGAAACAAAUUUCAUCUCCCCCCCAAUCUUCCAUGAAUGCUCUGCUUUGGAUCUUCUUCCCCUUCUCCAUCUCUCUUUUCUAAAUUUUACAUUUGAUACAUACAUACACAUACACUACCUUCUUCCUUUUUCCAAACCCUUCAGCGACCCUCAUGCACCACCGCGACCGCUAGCACCCGCCGGACUCCUCUCCCCCACCCCUACCCCUACCCCUACCCCUACCAACUUCGGCUUGAAUUUAAGAAUUUGAAUGAUUUAUGUGACCUGAAUUUUAAAAAAAAAUGAAAAAUCAAAGAAAAAAUUUGUGGCUUGUAUUUCAGAGAGAGAGAGUGGGUUUGCUUCAAAUUUGUUUCUUGAAUUUUAGAGAGAGAAAAUCCCAUCAAUGGCGAUGGGCUCCCUGAGGUGGA